rnacentral:lncRNA from 1 species
GUCAAUAGCCACACAAGACAUACAAAAGAGAUAAUAAAUAAAUAUUUUAUUUAAAAGUUUUGUAUAUAUUUCAGAAAAAGCUUAUUAUAAGGCAACUUCAUUUGGACAAUUUAUUUUAGCAAAAGAAAGAAAAGAUAUAAGAUUUGAGCUAAGACGACAUCCUUGGGCUUAGCCAUCAACCUUGGGCACAAAGCCUAACUAUGCUCGAUGAGGUUGUUGGUAAUGUCUGUGUAUGAAGGCCUUCCCCUUCAAUAGUCAUCGAUCCUCGAUAAGAGACAUCGGAGAUGGAAUAGUGGGUACUCUCUCAAAAACCC